CAGAGAUGUAGGUCAAGAGGAGAAGAACAAACUGACCAAGGAAGUAAAUGUGAAACUCAAAUGUGAAGGUAACGUACUGGCAGUGCACAACACUGAAACUGAGACUUGGUGAAAAUUAUAGUAUUGCAUCUUUCUCCAUACCUUACUACUACAGCAAGCCUCAUCAUGAUUGUACCUGGAUUAAAACUGAAUGGGCUGUAAGAUGCUCUCUGCAAGCACAAUGACGUGGAAUCCUACAGUUAAGAGGCAUGGUUUCUAAGAUUGAAAUGAACAUAGAAACCCAUAACUGUUCAAGGUUCAGAGAAUAAGGGACUGCUUGAUGUUUGGCCAUAAACAGGACAUCUGUAUCACAGACAUGUCCCCCUCACUCAAGGCACAGGGAUCAUGCAGAAGGGAUCAGGAAGACGGUCAUUACAGCAAAGGGUAACACUCA
rnacentral:sRNA from 1 species